GAAAUGCUGGAGUUAAAUUACUCAAUUAAUAAAAUAAAAAAUUGAAAGUAAAAAAUCUACAGUCCAAGCAAUGUUAAAGCAGUACUAUCCUUAAAUCAUACCAAAUGUGUAAACCUACAACUGCUACUUCAUACAAAAUAUACCAUAGCACAAAAUAUAUUAAAUUGUCUACAAAAGCAUUUAAUACCCAAAAGUUACCGUCAAUAUAAAAGUUAUUUUAAUAUCUUUUUAAAACAACAGUCGAGUUUGGUCGAAAUAAUGCAAAAACAGUAUUAUCCUUAAAAUGUAUCAAAUGAAUAUAUCUACGACUACUACUUCAUACAAAAUAUACCAUAAAGCACAAAAUAUACUGGAUUCCAAAGCAUUUAAAAGCCGAGAAAAAAGUUAUUUUAUUAUUUUUUCAAAACUGCAGUUUGCUCGAAACAAUGGGAAAAAAGUAUUAUCCUUAAAAAUUUCAAAUUAUCAUAAUAUACCUACAACUACUAACCCAUGCUAAUAAAGCUAGUAGUAAUUAUUAUUGGGUGUAGCAAAAAUCGAGAUAAUCAUUACUUACGAGGGCGAUGGAUACACUAGAAACUCAAUGAUUGUCAUCUUCUUGCCAAAGUCCUCCACGAGUUUCUCCAUGAUGCGUGUGCCGAGCCCAGAACCAGUUCCCCCGCCAAUAGCUCGAAAGACGAGAAAUCCUCGCAAGCUGCGACAUCUAUCAGCCACACGUCGUAUCGCAUUCAUGGAGCGAUCCAAUAGCUCACUGGCCAUCAGAUUAUAACCUCGAGCAAAGUUGCUGCCGCUGUCAUCCUUGCCCGUUAUCAAAGUCUCGGGAUGAAAGAGAUUGCGAUACGCUCCAGUGCGUAUUUCAUCUAAAAGAAACAAGAGUUAAUAAGGGGAUUUCCGAAGAAGAAACUGCGCACCUAUGACUGUUGGUUCCGUGUCGAUCAUGACGAGUCGCGGCUGAACACAGGGAUCUCGACCGCUGAACUCGAAAAACGUGAGAAAGGAGUCAUCGCAGGGCUUGGACAUGAGGCGUCCAUUCGACAUGAUGCCAUGUUCCAGGCAAUACAGUUCCCAGCAGGCAUUGGCUAUCUGAACGCCCGCCUGGCCGAUGUGUAUCUGGAUUAUUUCGCCCCGGCUGCCCAUGUAAUGCCGGUGUUGUCACCUCUCUCUGACCUCUCCACAUGCGUCCUAUUUGCUUUCAA